rnacentral:rRNA from 1 species
UACGUGAGGGUGCAAGCGUUGUCCGGAAUUAUUGGGCGUAAAAGGAGCUCGUAGGCGGUUUGUUGCGUCGGCUGUGAAAUCCCCGAAGGCUCAACCUCGGGUCUGCAGUCGAUACGAGCAAACUAGAGUGUUGCAGGGGAGACUGGAAUUCCUGGUGUAGCGGUGAAAUGCGCAGAUAUCAGGAGGAACACCGGUGGCGAAAGGCGGGUCUCUGGGCAAACAACUGACGC